rnacentral:rRNA from 1 species
GAACGCUGGCCGGCGUGCUACUACAUGCAUGAUCGAACGCUUUUCUUUCACCGAGACUUUGUCUCACCGAAAGAAAAGAGUGGCGAACGGGUGAGUAACACGUGGGUAACCUACCCUCGAGCGGGGGAUAACAUUUGGAAACAGGUGCUAAUACCGCAUAAUAACAGAAGAACGCAUUUCUUUUGUUUGAAAGUCGCAAUUGCGACACUCGAGGAUGGACCCGCGGUGCAUUAGCUAGUUGGUGGGGUAACGGCUCACCAAGGCCACGAUGCAUAGCCGACCUGAGAGGGUGAUCGGCCACACUGGGACUGAGACACGGCCCAGACUCCUACGGGAGUGCAGCAGUAGGGAAUCUUCGGCAAUGGACGAAAGUCUGACCGAGCAACGCCGCGUGAGUGAAGAAGGUUUUCGGAUCGUAAAACUCUGUUGUUAGAGAAGAACAAGGAUGAGAGUAAAAAUGUUCAUCCCUUGACGGUAUCUAACCAGAAAGCCACCGGCUAACUACGUGCCAGCAGCCGCGGUAAUACGUAGGUGGCAAGCGUUGUCCCGGAUUAUUGGGCGUAAGCGAGCGCAGGCGGCUUCUUAAGUCUGAUGUGAAAGCCCCGGGUUAACCGGGG